CCUACGGGUGGCAGCAGUGGGGAAUAUUGGACAAUGGGCGAAAGCCUGAUCCAGCCAUGCCGCGUGUGUGAAGAAGGCCUUCGGGUUGUAAAGCACUUUCAGUGGGGAAGAAAGCCUUGGGGCUAAUACCCUCGAGGAAGGACAUCACCCACAGAAGAAGCACCGGCUAACUCCGUGCCAGCAGCCGCGGUAAUACGGAGGGUGCGAGCGUUAAUCGGAAUUACUGGGCGUAAAGCGCGCGUAGGCGGUCUGAUAAGCCGGUUGUGAAAGCCCCGGGCUCAACCUGGGAACGGCAUCCGGAACUGUCAGGCUAGAGUGCAGGAGAGGAAGGCAGAAUUCCCGGUGUAGCGGUGAAAUGCGUAGAGAUCGGGAGGAAUACCAGUGGCGAAGGCGGCCUUCUGGACUGACACUGACGCUGAGGUGCGAAAGCGUGGGUAGCAAACAGGAUUAGAUACCCGGGUAGUC
rnacentral:rRNA from 1 species